rnacentral:rRNA from 1 species
CCUACGGGUGGCAGCAGUGGGGAAUAUUGGACAAUGGGGGCAACCCUGAUCCAGCCAUGCCGCGUGUGUGAAGAAGGCCCUCGGGUUGUAAAGCACUUUCAGUGAGGAAGAACGCCUGGUGGUUAAUACCCAUCAGGAAAGACGUCACUCACAGAAGAAGCACCGGCUAACUCCGUGCCAGCAGCCGCGGUAAUACGGAGGGUGCGAGCGUUAAUCGGAAUUACUGGGCGUAAAGCGCGCGUAGGUGGCUUGAUAAGCCGGUUGUGAAAGCCCCGGGCUCAACCUGGGAACGGCAUCCGGAACUGUCAAGCUAGAGUGCAGGAGAGGAAGGUAGAAUUCCCGGUGUAGCGGUGAAAUGCGUAGAGAUCGGGAGGAAUACCAGUGGCGAAGGCGGCCUUCUGGACUGACACUGACACUGAGGUGCGAAAGCGUGGGUAGCAAACAGGAUUAGAUACCCUAGUAGUC